UAGCCGUUCUGUAACUCCGCGAGCGAUCCACUGUUCUCCACGUGAGGGAAAAAAAGUUUUUUGGGAGCUUCUUUCAAGAGAUGGCGACGGGUGCUUUCAGGGUCAAAGUGCUCUUUCUCGGAUUUCAAUUCAUUUGCACAAAGACAGUCGGACGCCUCAUUCCCUGCGAGUCAAUACGCCUGAUAACAAAGGUCAGAAACCUCACGCGACAACCCCUUCAAGUUGAUGAACUUCAAUGCAAAAUUGCCAUUCAGUUGAGAGGGGAAAAAUAGGAGCACGCUCUUGUCAUUUUGCAGUGAAGACCUACUGCAAAAAAA